rnacentral:rRNA from 1 species
GACGAACGCUGGCGGCGUGCUUAACACAUGCAAGUCGAACGGAAAGGCCCUGCUUUUGUGGGGUGCUCGAGUGGCGAACGGGUGAGUAACACGUGAGUAACCUGCCCUUGACUUUGGGAUAACUUCAGGAAACUGGGGCUAAUACCGGAUAGGAGCUCCUGCUGCAUGGUGGGGGUUGGAAAGUUUCGGCGGUUGGGGAUGGACUCGCGGCUUAUCAGCUUGUUGGUGGGGUAGUGGCUUACCAAGGCUUUGACGGGUAGCCGGCCUGAGAGGGUGACCGGCCACAUUGGGACUGAGAUACGGCCCAGACUCCUACGGGAGGCAGCAGUGGGGAAUAUUGCACAAUGGGCGGAAGCCUGAUGCAGCAACGCCGCGUGCGGGAGGACGGCCUUCGGGUGGUAAACCGCUUUCGCCUGUGACGAAGCGUGAGUGACGGUAAUGGUUAAAGAAGCACCGGCUAACUACGU